UGUAACAGCAACUCCAUGUGGAUGGUUUAAAGCUCCCAGUGGAGUUACUGUUACUUU
rnacentral:pre_miRNA from 1 species